GAAAGCAGAGAAAAUAGACAGAUUGUUUUUGUGCCUGUUCUGAUCCUAAAAAAGAACAGAAUGAGCAUAUUAGAUAUACAAGACGAGUUCAGUUUUGAUGCAAAUUAUGAACACCAAAGUGAAUGUAGAAGUGUGAAAGAAUAUCAAGAAUUUUUGAAGACUUUGAGAAAUACAAGAGGCAUCUGUAAUCAUUUUUGGUUGGAAUCAGAUUUUGUUGACAGGAAAGGGCAGGUACAAAGAUUGACAGAUUACAAGAAGAACAGUCUUCUUAGAAAAUUGAUUAGCAUUAUAAAUUUAAGGGACAUAACAGAGGAAUGGCCAACAAUACCUUGGGAAAAUAUUGUUUAUAAUAACAUAACAGUUCGACAAUUGACAGAUCAACUAGUGAACCUUUGUGCCCCAACACUUUCCCCAACAGAAGCUGCAUCUAAUGUAAUUGAAAUCCCAAUUGGUCGAAUUAUAGCACCCUAUGAUAGUCGAUAUGUGGCAGGUCAGUGGAUAAGGGAUACCACAGUAGCUACAAUCCUUGACAAUAUAUGUCUCUCACUGACAGUUGUCACACGAGAAGUAGCCUGGAUAUCUAGAGUGAUAGUCAAAUCAGAUGAAAUGGGAAACAUUACACCAGUAACUGUACCUAGUAGUACAGUGAGACGUUUGUUGGUGACAAUUGAGCUGAGAGGUGUGCCACAAAUAUAUGCCAUUAUGGAUGGUGAGCAGAGAAAGUAAAAAAAUAAAGAAAAGGGGCCCAGGACUAACAGUUCAGCACACUGAGAACACUGCUUAAAUAAAUUAGUU